CAGGACGAACGCUGGCGGCGUGCCUAACACAUGCAAGUCGAACGAGAUCCAUGGGAGCUUGCUCCCGGAAGAUCUAGUGGCGAACGGGUGAGUAACACGUGAGAAACCUGCCCUGGAGUGGGGAAUAACUCGGGGAAACUCGAGCUAAUACCGCAUACCCUCGGAUGGUCGCAUGGCCGACCGAGGAAAGAUUUAUCGCUCUAGGAGGGUCUCGCGGCCUAUCAGCUAGUUGGUGGGGUAACGGCCUACCAAGGCAACGACGGGUAGCUGGUUUGAGAGAACGAUCAGCCACACUGGGACUGAGACACGGCCCAGACUCCUACGGGAGGCAGCAGUGGGGAAUCUUGCGCAAUGGGCGAAAGCCUGACGCAGCAACGCCGCGUGCGGGAUGACGGCCUUCGUGGUUGUAAACCGCUUUCAGCAGGGACGAAAAUGACGGUACCUGCAGAAGAAGCCCCGGCUAACUACGUG
rnacentral:rRNA from 1 species